rnacentral:rRNA from 1 species
AAUCAACGCUGGCGGCGUGCCUCAGACAUGCAAGUCGAACGAUUAAGACUUCCUUCGGGAAGUGUAUAAAGUGGCGCACGGGUGAGUAACACGUAAGUAAUCUACCCUCGAGUGGGGAAUAACGUUCGGAAACGAACGCUAAUACCGCAUAAUGCAGCGGCAUCGCAAGAUGACAGAUGUUAAAGGAGUAAUUCGCUUGAGGAGGAGCUUGCGGCAGAUUAGCUAGUUGGUAAGGUAACGGCUUACCAAGGCUACGAUCUGUAUCCGGUCUAAGAGGACGGUCGGACACACUGACACUGAAUAACGGGUCAGACUCCUACGGGAGGCAGCAGUCGGGAAUUUUGGGCAAUGGGCGAAAGCCUGACCCAGCAACGCCGCGUGAAGGAUGAAGUAUUUCGGUAUGUAAACUUCGAAAGAAUGGGAAGAAUAAAUGACGGUAUCAUUUAUAAGCUCCGGCUAACUACGUGCCAGCCGCCGCAGUAAUAC